CCUGCUUCUCCAUUACCCCAGGCUCCCCCUGUUUCUCCUUUGCCCCAGGCUGUCCCUGCUCUUCAUCUGACCCAGACUCUCCCUGCUCCUCCUCUGAUCCAGGCUCACCUGCUGCUCUUUUGCCCCAGGAUUCCCUGUUCCUCCUCUAUCCAAGGUCCUCCUGCUUCUCCUCUGCUCCAGACUCCUCUGCUCUUCCUCUGCCUUAGGCUCUCCCUGCUAUUCCCCAGGCUCUUCCUAAUCUUCC